UACAGCAAAAGAUGCAGCCUUGACCAACUUCUACCAGGCUUCUCUUCUUGUGCCAUGGCUUGGAAAGGACUGUGUGUAAGACAUGACAUCUGCACCAAAAGGGAGCUUCUUUUCCAAGACUUGGAAACCCAAAAUUGCUAUAAGGAGAUUCAAGCCCAAAAAUGUCCACAUUGAGUGAAUAUUACCCCAAAAUGUAGUGAUGAAGCUCUGAUAGGCUGUACUGGGAACAUCCAGAUAACUCCCAAAGACUAGAAGAUUGCUAAAGCCAAGCAAACCUUAUCUUACUGCUUUUCUACUCUGUCAAUGGGAAGGCUGAUGACUGAAAGAACAGGAAAGGAGUCUGCAGGUACUAACCUCAGAGGCUGUGAUCAUGGUAGUCCUUAAAUAAAGAACAUGCUGAGUAUUCAUGAGAAGAGAACAGGGGAGGAAGCAGCAGCUGGAAGAGCGAAUAAAAAUUAGCUACACAGAUUGGCAUUUUCAAAAUUUCUUAUCAGAUUAGAAAUAUGUGUUGACAGACUUGUGAUUGUUCAUCAUUCAUACCUAUUUGGGAACCUCACCACAAGGGCUGAAGGGGAUCAGCUUGGAUAGGUGGAAGAACAACAUAAAACCUGACAUUCACUUGCCUGGUAAGGAGAACUUUCCACCCAGGAGCACAGACUUUCCUCAGUGGUUGCAGCAUUUGCUGUGUCACUGAACCCAUCUGCUGCACAACUGUCAGGAUCGUGGCACUUCAAACACACAGGGGCAGAAAUACCAGUCCUUUGACAUGUACUUACUCAGCAGAUGGAAAGUCACAGAACCAAAAGACAUCAGGAACCAGAAGCCCUGGGUCUGGAGAAUACAAAACUAUUGCAACUACAAAUGCUUCUGAAUCUUAGCUGGUUUCUUCCUACUACUUAAGAGACCAAUGGAAAGAAGUAGCUACAGCAAUGUGUUCAAAGGUCAGGAAAAGCCUGGCUCUAUGUUUGAAGCAAUUCAUAGAAGAACAGCAAUGAAAAUCAAAGGAAGAAGUGAAAUGGUUUCCACUUUUACUCCAGGUCACCAGGAGAGGCUCAACCAAGCAGUGAUUUAACAUUAACGCGUAUCAGCGCAUAUGGACGAUUCCAAUCAAGCCAGGAACUGUUUUUUCUAUGGCCAUAAGGAAAGUUAACUAUUGUAACCCAAGUCAUCUGACAUUUUUUUACCAAGGAGCAGAAUUUCCUUUCUUCUUCUGGAGAAGUUUUCGUUUUGCAAGGGAGUGUGUUUACGAUAGAUUCCCACAUCAGAAAUGGUGACAUCAGUGAUUCCUUUUGCAAUUUCCCAUCAGUACCCUGGGGACAGGGCUGGCCUUCCUUUGGCAGUGUGUGCUGAAAUCUGGGGACAGCAGGUGCAGUAACACACCAAGUGCAAGUGCUUUCACCAGGCUUUAAAGUCAGGGAAAGGAAAGGAGUUACCUCAAUGCACAGCCUGUUCCAGGGUCUGCAUGGCCUUAAUUUCAUGAAGCUCAGUGACAAUGUUGUAGUCCAGCAGUGACAGAAAGCAAGGAGUCUGUUGCAAUAGCCAUUGUAAUGGAAGGAAUCUUCAUAUUCAAUCCCAAACUAAGCAGAAACUAAGGUAUUUUUAAGUGUGCAGCCUGCAAGUCAUUCCUGUGGUUGCAAAGAGAAGAUGUGUGGAUUCACUGGCUGGGUGCAAAUUCUCUCAUCCCCCACUCCUUAGUGCUCCUUCUUUCUUUUCAGGUCCUGGGGACAAGCUGGGGCUGCCAGAUUAACCCCUUCCCAGACUUUGGGCUCUGCAGCCCCAGGAGGUCUAAUCCUCAUCCUUUCUCUCCCUUGAGGCAGGAGAUGGAAAGAAUCCGUGUUGUUCCACGAUCUGCAUGUGUUUGCAGUGCUGGAAGAUCUGUGUAACUCCCUAUGCUGGUGAACCUGCUACAGGUGGCCUGGGCACGUGGGCUGUCUGUAGUUUAAUUUCUAAGGGUAUGAGUUGUCUGGCAAGUGAAAAAUUGGCUUUUCACUAAGUUACACUAAAUAUUACUCUUAUCUUCUUUUUCUUUUUCUUUCCUGCAUGUGCGGGGGAUGUCCCUGUCAGGAUAAGACACACUUCACAUGAUGCCUGGAGAUUUAAAAACACCGUGAAGAGAGAUUGGGCUUUCUUAGGAUUUAAUGAACAACUUGUUGAGGUCAUUUGGCUCUCCAUGAUUUAGCAAACUGAUAAGUGAUUAAGGAUAAUUUUCCAGUUAGCUUGCUGCUACUCUUUAAAGUGUCUGAUGAACAUCAGCAGUUGAGCUGAUUGAUAACUAAUCAUCUAGUUUGGCACUGCUAAUUGCUUGUUUAGCCAUCAAGCUCCCUGUUUGUUAGAUUUUCAGGUGGCCAUCAGAAACAGCUUUCUGAUCACUCGGUCAUGACUUAGAUGUAGUGAGAUCAAUCAGCUGUUAAUGAAGUAUUUUCAAACCCAAUCUGUAGAAAGUCAUUUACAUUCCCAAGCAAGGACUAGAAUUUCAGUGAGCUUUAGACUAUUAUAUGACUUUCCCAUGGAGACACCCCUCACCAGAGGGGCUUUAAAGGUUUGUUACCAAGAUGAUUGGAGCUAAUCCUGCUGAGGUUGCCCGGGUGGAAAGCAUGUGUGUGUAUUUCAGUAUCCCCACAUACCAUGUGUUUCUCUUCUGUGCAGUCAGGAAGCAGAUUUGUCCUCCUGCCAUGUAUAUUCAUCAGGUGUUAUCUGACCUCGGGUCCUACUUAAGGAAACAUCUAACUGAAGUUGAUGGAAGACUUGCCCAAGUAAUGACAUCAUUAACAGGACUUGUGAUAAAAGUGGAGUGUCACCCACAGUGAUUGCACGGAGCAUUGUAUGAUAGCUGGGAUGUCUGUAAAAUCUGUACAAAAUUAACUACAGCUGCACAAUAGGUGAUUAAACUAGUUUUCUCAUGCUGUAACUCAGCCCUCUUUAAUACUAAUUUAAGAAUUCUUUCUUUUAUAGGACUGUAAUAUGCAUGAGCCCAUUCCUUUCCACCCUCCCUAUUACUCUACAGCAAUGCCUUAUUUAAUACCCUGCUCUUAUUUUUAUUGCUUCUAGCAGUCAAUCUCCUCUCCUCGGCCUCUGUCCUGGGUAGCUUAGCCAAGAAAUGGGGAACUUCUUGGUGGGGAAAGUGAUGGAAAAGGAACAGAACCACUCCAGACUUGUUGAACUAGUCCCACAGCAGAAGUAGCUUUCCCAGAGAAAGAUUGGCACAGGCAGUUUCCCUUCUGUAUGAUUUUUCUUCGCACCUCUUAACCUGCUUAUGUGGAGUCCAUGUAGAACAGGAUUAUGUCACUUCUUUAGUCUCCUCAGGGCCUUUUGUGGGAUAAGAGGAAAUUCCUACCAAGGCUUUGUGAUGCUGGUCUGUAACUUUUGCAAAACCUGGGAAAUUUGAGGGAUGAGGUCAAGUGCCCUUUGAUCUGGUAACCCCUUCAGAAGCUCUCCCUGAAGGAGAGGAGAAAUUGUUAGAUCUACUUUAGGUAAAAUCCUGAUGUAGUUCAUCUCAAGUGAACUGGCCAUGCUGGAUGAGAGCUCAGGAUCUGUUUCUUAUAGAGUGAGAAAUGUCCUAUAAAAAGGGACCAUAAACAAAGCAAGUUUUCAAAGAAAUUGGAUGCAGUGCAUCAACAUUGCCAGUGCUUAACAUCAAAAGCUCAUGAAUUUGUCACCACAAGAACAAAACCAGAGCAUUUUGGGUUCUCUUCCCAUCAGUGAAUAGUCUGAGGUCCCUGGGAGUGGUUCUCAAUUGUGAUCUGAGGAAUACGAGCUGGAGAAUUUCACUGUGUGAUUCCUGAGUCGAGCUCAAAAGCCCUGCAGACCACCUACUGCCUAACAGGACCAUUUCAUUCAAGAUGUUAUUCCACCUUGAAUUAAAGACUUCAAAUUAGAAAGAUCUUAAUAUAUCCCAAAGUUAAUUGAUGCAUUGGUUGACUGUAGGCAGGUACUCAAAGGUAAAAUCUACUUUUUGCUUUUUAACCUUUGGGAUUAAUCUUUUAAGAUUUUCUUCAUGACUGUAAGGAUUAGAGACCUCUUUUAAUUUUUAAUGAGCUUGAAAUUUUUAUAUAAUAACAAGCUGGUGGGACAUGAGACUUUGAACAACAUAUUUAAUAAUAGAAGACAGCAGUAAAAUGGUUGGAACGGUGGAUACGGCCGGGUUACCUCAUCUUUCCAGGAGCAGAAGGUAAUAAGUGAGUUAUAUUGUUUUUACUAGCAAAUGACUGAAGAUAUUUUUCUGGAAAAUAAAUUCAGCCCCAUCAAAGAGACUCCUAUCUAGUGAAAUGAAACAGAUUUAAAAUAGAUUUAUCCAUUAAAACAUUGAGCUAAGCUUCCCUUGGUCCCUACUGAGCAGAAGACGCCUGUCCCAUCCACCUCUAAUCUGAGAAGCUCAUCGUGUCUCCCAGACCUAUUUGCAGCGAGACACUUGUGGGAGAUGAAACCUUGGCAUGGGAGGUUGCUUGUCUCCGAGGGCUGUUGGAAGAGGAGCAGAAUUCCUUGUCUGCCUCAAUCCACCCACGCAAACAGGAAGGAGGCCGUGCCAGAUGAUAAGUCCAACUUACCA